rnacentral:rRNA from 1 species
CAUUACCGAGUUUUCGAGCUCCGGCUCGACUCUCCCACCCUUUGUGAACGUACCUCUGUUGCUUUGGCGGCUCCGGCCGCCAAAGGACCUUCAAACUCCAGUCAGUAAACGCAGACGUCUGAUAAACAAGUUAAUAAACUAAAACUUUCAACAACGGAUCUCUUGGUUCUGGCAUCGAUGAAGAACGCAGCGAAAUGCGAUAAGUAAUGUGAAUUGCAGAAUUCAGUGAAUCAUCGAAUCUUUGAACGCACAUUGCGCCCCUUGGUAUUCCGGGGGGCAUGCCUGUUCGAGCGUCAUUACAACCCUCAAGCUCUGCUUGGAAUUGGGCACCGUCCUCACUGCGGACGCGCCUCAAAGACCUCGGCGGUGGCUGUUCAGCCCUCAAGCGUAGUAGAAUACACCUCGCUUUGGAGCGGUUGGCGUCGCCCGCCGGACGAACCUUCUGAACUUUUCUCAAGGUUGACCUCGGAUCAGGUAGGGAUACC